UACGAAGGGGGCUAGCGUUGUUCGGAAUUACUGGGCGUAAAGGGCGCGUAGGCGGCCUGUUAAGUCGAACGUGAAAUCCCCGGGCUCAACCCGGGAACUGCGUCCGAUACUGGCAGGCUUGAAUCCGGGAGAGGUGAGUGGAACUCCGAGUGUAGAGGUGAAAUUCGUAGAUAUUCGCAAGAACACCAGUGGCGAAGGCGGCUCACUGGCCCGGUACUGACGCUGAGGUGCGAAAGCGUGGGGAGCAAACAGG
rnacentral:rRNA from 1 species